rnacentral:misc_RNA from 1 species
UGUCCCACCCGGCCACAGCG